CAGCCGCCACGGUAAUACGGAGGGCGCGAGCGUUACCCGGAUUUACUGGGCGUAAAGGGCGUGUAGGCGGCCUGGGGCGUCCCAUGUGAAAGGCCACGGCUCAACCGUGGAGGAGCGUGGGAUACGCUCAGGCUAGAGGGUGGGAGAGGGUGGUGGAAUUCCCGGAGUAGCGGUGAAAUGCGCAGAUACCGGGAGGAACGCCGAUGGCGAAGGCAGCCACCUGGUCCACUUCUGACGCUGAGGCACGAAAGCGUGGGGAGCAAACCGGAUUAGAUACCCCCGUAGUCCCUGUCUCUUAUAC
rnacentral:rRNA from 1 species